rnacentral:lncRNA from 1 species
AAAAAAGAUCUAGGAAGUCCAAUAUGCACCACACAACUAGAAAUAUCCAAAUUUAUAGGAUGACAUUCUAACCUGUCAAACUCAGACAUCAAUGUGCGAGUCUCCAGUCCAGCCUUUCCAUGUUAAGUUUUCAUUCUGACCUGCUCUGGCAUCUAUAAAUGAGACUCUUGCGUCUGAAUUUACAGCUGUGUCAAGACAACCUGACUGUCUGCUUCUGGUGGCAGGACUCCUUACAAAUUAGGUACAGCUAGCAUUAAAAACCAAGCUCACACAACCCUGCAAAAUAGAAUUUUUUUCUUGAAAGUUAGACUGCAAAAAUUUAAUCAAUGUUGUCAACAUAUUUCAACAAUACAAAUAUCAUGAUGGCUUCCUAGCAUAUAAUAGAACCAAGCUUCAACAUAGUUAAUGAUAAAAUGGGACUCUUACCAGAUUUUCGAGUUCAAUUCUUGUGAAAUAAUUUUGGGAACCAAAUUGCUUUAGUUUGCUUUUUUUUUUAAGGUGCUUUAGUUUGUUAACCCUCAUAUAAUUCCAGUAAAACACUCCGGAUCUAACUCUUGAAAUCAUACGAUUGUUUUGUAAUGUUUUUAAUCAAAAGGCUUUUUAUUUUAUCUAUUACUGCAG